rfam:Mus musculus chromosome 17, GRC primary reference assembly.
CCGGCACUCAUGACGGUCUGCCUAAAAACCAGUCCGCUGGUGGGGCAGUCCUGAGGACCUGCGUG